rnacentral:rRNA from 1 species
CCUACGGGAGGCAGCAGUGGGGAAUCUUGCGCAAUGCGCGAAAGCGUGACGCAGCAACGCCGCGUGAGGGAAGACGGCCUUCGGGUUGUAAACCUCUUUCAGUUGGGACGAAGCCACGGCGGUUAAUACCCGUCUGUGGUGACGGUACCUUCAGAAGAAGCCCCGGCUAACUACGUGCCAGCAGCCGCGGUAAUACGUAGGGGGCAAGCGUUGUCCGGAAUCAUUGGGCGUAAAGCGCGUGUAGGCGGCUUGGUAAGUCCGCUCUGAAAGCCCGGGGCUCAACCCCGGGAGGCGGGUGGAUACUGUCAAGCUCGAGUCCGGAAGAGGCGAGUGGAAUUCCUGGUGUAGCGGUGAAAUGCGCAGAUAUCAGGAGGAACACCAAUGGCGAAGGCAGCUCGCUGGGACGUGACUGACGCUGAGACGCGAAAGCGUGGGGAGCAAACAGGAUUAGAUACCCUGGUAGUCCACGCCGUAAACGAUGGGCACUAGGUGUGGGAGGUGUCGACUCCUCCCGUGCCGAAGCUAACGCAUUAAGUGCCCCGCCUGGGGAGUACGGCCGCAAGGCUAAAACUCAAAGGAAUUGACGG